UACGGAGGGGACUAGCGUUGUUCGGAAUUACUGGGCGUAAAGCGCACGUAGGCGGAUUUGUAAGUCAGGGGUGAAAUCCCGGGGCUCAACCUCGGAACUGCCUUUGAUACUGCAAAUCUCGAGUCCGGAAGAGGUGAGUGGAAUUCCUAGUGUAGAGGUGAAAUUCGCAGAUAUUAGGAAGAACACCAGUGGCGAAGGCGGCUCACUGGUCCGGUACUGACGCUGAGGUGCGAAAGCGUGGGGAGCAAACAGG
rnacentral:rRNA from 1 species